rnacentral:misc_RNA from 1 species
UACGGAGGGUGCAAGCGUUGUCCGGAUUUAUUGGGUUUAAAGGGUGCGUAGGCGGGUUAAUAAGUCAGUGGUGAAAGCCGGCAGCUCAACUGUCGAACUGCCAUUGAUACUGUUAGCCUUGAGUAUAGUUGAGGUAGGCGGAAUGAGUCGUGUAGCGGUGAAAUGCAUAGAUAUGACUCAGAACACCGAUAGCGUAGGCAGCUUACUAAGCUAUAACUGACGCUGAGGCACGAAAGCAUGGGUAGCGAACAGG